rnacentral:rRNA from 1 species
GAGUUCGAUCCUAGCUCAGAUUGAACGCUGGCGGGAUGCUUUUACAUGCAAGUCGAACGGCAGCACGGACUUCGGUCUGGGCGAGUGGCGAACGGGUGAGUAAUGUCGGAACGUGCCUAGUAGCGGGGGGAUAACUACGCGAAAGCGUAGCUAAUACCGCAUACGCCCUUCGGGGAAAGCGGGGGACCUUCGGGCCUCACUAUUAGAGCGGCCGAUAUCGGAUUAGCUAGUUGGUGGGGUAACGGCUCGCAAGGCGACGAUCCGUAGCUGGUUUGAGAGGACGACCAGCCGCACUGGGACUGAGACACGGCCCAGACUCCUACGGGAGGCAGCAGUGGGGAAUUUUUGGACAAUGGGAAACCUGAUCCAGCCAUCCCGCGUGUGCGAUGAAGGCCUUCCGGGUUGUAAAGCACUUUUGGCAGGAAAGAAACGGCACGGGAUAAUACCCCGUGCAACUGACGGACCUGCAGAAUAAGCACCGGCUAACUACGUGCCAGCAGCCGCGGUAAUACCGUAGGGUGCAAGCGUUAAUCGGAAUUACUGGGCGUAAAGCGUGCGCAGGCAGUUCGGAAAGAAAGAUGUGAAAUCCCAGAGCUUAACUUUGGAACUGCGUUUUUAACUACCGAGCUAGAGUGUGUCAGAGGGAGGUGGAAUUCCGCGUGUAGCGGUGAAAUGCCGUAGAUAUGCGGAGGAACACCGAUGAAGGCAGCCUCCUGAGAUUAACACUGACGCUCAUGCACGAAAGCGUGGGGAGCAAACAGGAUUAGAUACCCUGGUAGUCCACGCCCUAAACGAUGUCAACUAGCUGUUGGGGCCUUCGGGCCUUGGUAAGCGCAACUAACGCGUAAGUUGACCGCCUGGGGAAGUACGGUCGCAAGAUUAAAACUCAAGGAAUUGACGGGGACCCGCACAAGCGGUGGAUGAUGUGGAUUAAUUCGAUGCAGCACGCAGAAAACCUUACCUACCCUUGACAUGUCUGGAAUCCCAGAAAGAGAUUUAGAGGAGUGCUCGCAAGAGAACCGGAACACAGGUGCUGCAUGGCUGUCGUCCCAGCUCGUGUCGUGAGAUGUUGAGUUAAGUCCCGCAACGAGCGCAACCCUUGUCAUUAGUUGCUACGAAAGGGCACUCUAAUGAGACUGCCAGUGACAAACCGGAGGAAGGUGGGGAUGACGUCAAGUCCUCAUGGCCCUUAUGGGUAGGGCUUCACACGUCAUACAAUGGUCGGGACAGAGGGUCGCCAACCCGCGAGGGGAGCCAAUCCCGAAACCCGAUCGUAGUCCGGAUCGCAGUCUGCAACUCGACUGCGUGAAGUCGGAAUCGCUAGUAAUCGCGGAUCAGCAUGUCGCGGUGAAUACGUUCCCGGGUCUUGUACACACCGCCCACCAUGGGAGUGGGUUUUACCAGAAAGUAGUUAGCCUAACCGUAAGGAGGGCGAUUACCACGGUAGGAUUCAUGACUGGGGUGAAGUCGUAACAAGGUAA